UCCUCGGUAGCUCAGUGGUAGAGCAGUUGGCUGUUAACCAAUUAGUCGCUGGUCGAAUCCAGCCCGGGGAG
rnacentral:tRNA from 1 species